GAGAGCAUAGCUCAGUGGUGGAGUGCAUGCCUAGCAUGCAUGAGGUCCUGGGUUCAAUCCCCAGUGCCUCCA
rnacentral:tRNA from 1 species